rnacentral:tRNA from 1 species
GCCGCGGUAGCCGAGUGGUUAGCAUUGCGUAGAAACAUUCGGAAGGCUUGGGUUCAAGUCCCAGCGGCGGCA